UCCUUCCUUCCUUCCUUCCUUCCUUCUUCUCUUCUCUUUUCUUAUGUUUCCUCUUUUUAUUUAUCUUUUUUUUUUCUCUCUCUUUUUGUUUUACGUGCCCACCAACAACAGAACAAUACCCACCACCUUACCACAGUCAACAACGGGGCACCAGGUAUCAUCUCUCUAGAGCAGGGGCUCGCCGUGGCCUCACUCCCACACCCAGGUUACACCAGGACGCAAACCCAGCCUUGCACUGUGCUGAGAACCCCAUGGGAAGAUGCUGCUCGCUCAUCAGGCCCUGAACCAAAGCCUUGGAAGCUCUGCCUGCACACACUACGGGUAUGCAUGCUGCAGCCAGGACAAUCUGUCAUCAACAAACCCGCGCCAUCACCUAUUGUGGGAGCUUUGCUCACUUCUUGGUUGUUGAGUCUGUAUCUGCAGCGCACUUUGGUGGCUGGGGAGCGCAGUGCUGCCGCUGCGAGAUGUCUCCCUGCUGAUUCAGGUGCGCCACUCCACGCUGCCCUGACUUCCAGGCUACGUGCCUGAGGAAGAUGCUCUCAUCUCCAGCUGCCAACAGCUGACUUGGUUGCACUUCUGCCUCAGUCCCAGCCGUGUUUCUCAAGGUCCGCAGCCAACAAGUGACUUUCUGCGCCCACCCAAAACUCCACAGCAUUUGUGAUGCUCCAUAGGCCCCAAGAUGCCUUAACAGCUGAAACAUUUACAGCUUAUCUAAACCCAAAAAAUGAUAAACAGAAACUUUCCACGGCGACAGACUGAAAGCAAGGGCAGCCACACAGAUCAUAAAAUCCCUGGACUACAUCUAUUACUCAGAACUAAGUUUUGAGGAGACAAAGCAAAUGCUGCACAAAGAAAUUGUCCAAUUACUGCCCAUGGCUUAAGAUGUACAAAGAAGUAGGUCACGGAUUUUUCCCUGCCCAAUUUCCAGAUCACAUUAACGAGAUAAAUGGACAUGUCCUGUUCAGAUCUCUACACUCCAUCAUUAUUUGAUUGAAGUAUUUCCAGUUUUUCAGAAAAUGUCUCUUUAACCUUUCAAUUAAAUCUAAUACUUUUCAGAGGAGAAAAAAAAAAAAACAAAAACUUGAUUUUGAAUACCAAGCUGCUAGUAAAAUUUGUUUGAAAACCUGAAAUCUGUUUCUUCAGUUUAAUCCAGUCAGAUAGGACUGGGUGGAUGUACACUAGGUCAAACUGUGGCAAGCCUUUAUUCUUGCAUAAGCUGAAAGCUGCACGGCUGUUUAUUGCUGUCAUGGAUGUCCUUCUUGUGUAAAAUGAAAGAGAAAUUAAUGAAUGUGCACUUUGACUGAAUAAAAUUUUGACCUAAAAUUAAGACCGUGGUUGG
rnacentral:lncRNA from 1 species